rnacentral:rRNA from 1 species
UACAGAGGUCCCAAGCGUUGUUCGGAUUCAUUGGGCGUAAAGGGUGCGUAGGUGGCGCCGUAAGUGGGGUGUGAAAUUUCGGAGCUUAACUCCGAAACUGCAUUCCAUACUGCGGUGCUUGAGGACUGGAGAGGAGACUGGAAUUUACGGUGUAGCAGUGAAAUGCGUAGAGAUCGUAAGGAAGACCAGUGGCGAAGGCGGGUCUCUGGACCAGCACUGACACUGAGGCACGAAAGCGUGGGGAGCAAACAGG